AUGGCGGACGGCGGCUCGGAGCGGGCUGACGGGCGCAUCGUCAAGAUGGAGGUGGACUACAGCGCCACGGUGGAUCAGCGCCUACCCGAGUGUGCGAAGCUAGCCAAGGAAGGAAGACUUCAAGAAGUCAUUGAAACCCUUCUGUCUCUGGAAAAGCAGACUCGUACUGCUUCUGAUAUGGUAUCUACAUCCCGUAUCUUAGUUGCAGUAGUGAAGAUGUGCUAUGAGGCUAAAGAAUGGGAUUUACUUAAUGAAAAUAUUAUGCUUUUGUCCAAAAGGCGGAGUCAGUUAAAACAAGUGAGUUCAUGAUCAUGUCUGCUCCAAACACAAAAGCAUUUGUAUUUCAGAACUUUUCACAAGCUCUUCUGUAAGUCUGUUUAAAAUGUGUUAAGUCAACAUUGUAACAUCCUAGUGGGUGUUUUAAAAUUCAGUCCACAUUCUCACAAUG
rnacentral:sRNA from 1 species